GUAGUGGUGGUUCAGUGGUAGAACGAUCUGCUUCCGUGCCAGAGAGCUGGGUUCAAUUCCUAGCCAACAUA
rnacentral:tRNA from 1 species